rnacentral:rRNA from 1 species
UACAGAGGGUGCAAGCGUUGUCCGGAAUCACUGGGCGUAAAGGGCGCGUAGGCGGCUUUUCAAGCGUGCGGUGAAAGCUCGGGGCUUAACUCCGAGUCUGCCGUGCGAACUGGGAGGCUUGAGUCUGGUAGAGGUCGAUGGAAUUCCGGGUGUAGCGGUGGAAUGCGUAGAGAUCCGGAGGAACACCGGUGGCGAAGGCGACAUCCUGGACCGGCAUUGACGCUGAGGAGCGAAAGCUAGGGGAGCAAACGGG